AACGAACGCUGGCGGCAUGCCUAACACAUGCAAGUCGAACGAACCCUUCGGGGUUAGUGGCGCACGGGUGCGUAACGCGUGGGAAUCUGCCCUUAGGUACGGAAUAACUCACCGAAAGGUGUGCUAAUACCGUAUGAUGUCGAAAGACCAAAGAUUUAUCGCCUAAGGAUGAGCCCGCGUUGGAUUAGCUUGUUGGUGAGGUAAAGGCUCACCAAGGCGACGAUCCAUAGCUGGUCUGAGAGGAUGAUCAGCCACACUGGGACUGAGACACGGCCCAGACUCCUACGGGAGGCAGCAGUGGGGAAUAUUGGACAAUGGGCGAAAGCCUGAUCCAGCAAUGCCGCGUGAGUGAUGAAGGCCUUAGGGUUGUAAAGCUCUUUUACCCGGGAAGAUAAUGACUGUACCGGGAGAAUAAGCCCCGGCUAACUCCGUGCCAGCCGCCGCUGUAAUAC
rnacentral:rRNA from 1 species